GCGUUCACUUCGGCAGCGCAUACGCCAAAAUUGGAACGACGCAGAGAAGAGGGGCAUGGCCUCUGCACUUCACUGACCCUUACUUGUUUGGGUUUUUU
ensembl:snRNA U6 U6 spliceosomal RNA